GUGCUCGCUUCAGCAGCACAUAUACUAAAAUUGGAACAAUACAGAGAAGAUUAGCACGGCCCCUGUGCAAGGAUGACACACAAAUUCGCGAAGCAUUCCAUAUUUUU
rnacentral:snRNA from 1 species